GGGCUGCUAGCUCAAUGGUAGAGCAGCUGACUCUUAAUCAGUAGGUUCGGGGUUCGAGUCCCUGGCAGCCCACCA
rnacentral:tRNA from 1 species